rfam:Picea glauca, whole genome shotgun sequence.
GUCAUUGUAGUAUAGUGGUACUUAUUCCCGCCUGUCACGCAAGUGACCCGGGUUCGAUCCCGACAACGACG